AGGUGGAGCUGAGCGAGAGCUGAGGCAUUGAACAAUGAAGCGUGUGGGCAAUGGCACACACGUGAUGGCCAGUGUUGAACAUGAUGUAUGUUGGCAGUGUCAUGUGAGCAGUCACAUGCCUGCCAGUGAAUAGUAACCAUCUCAAUCACAAUCACCACCGAGUCAUUCCAUAACAUCACA
rnacentral:misc_RNA from 1 species